rnacentral:rRNA from 1 species
UACGUAGGGGGCAAGCGUUGUCCGGAUUUAUUGGGCGUAAAGAGCGUGUAGGCGGUCUGGUAGGUCCGCUGUGAAAACUCGAGGCUCAACCUCGAGACGCCGGUGGAAACCAUCAGACUAGAGUCCGGAAGAGGAGAGCGGAAUUCCUGGUGUAGCGGUGAAAUGCGCAGAUAUCAGGAAGAACACCCGUGGCUAAGGCGGCUCUCUAGUACGGUACUGACGCUGAGACGCGAAAGCGUGGGGAGCGAACAGG